UUAUGUUUAAUUAAAUCAAAUUUAUAUUAAAAUGUUGGUAAAAAAAUAAAAUUAACAAUAUCAAUAAAAUAAAUUAAUUAUAAUUUAAAUUAAAAUUUUGUCAUCCACAUGUUACAGGAAAACACGUAGUUAUACAUAUUGACUGAGUCUUCUUAAUUUUCUCUGUUUCUUUUAAAAAGUGAUUCUUCUUAGAUUUAUUGUUUAUCAAAAAAACUAGUAUUUGGGCCCCGUACUGUGUAUGGGGAAAAUUCAUUUGUUUUAUUUGAAUUAUUAUAUUAUAAUAUGUAAGUAUUAACACUAUUUUUGGUUAAAAAUCUAAACACCAACCAUAUAGAUAGAAAAAUUUGUUUCUAUUCGCGGAUACCAAAGGAUGCUGAAAAGAGUUAAUUUGUAUGUGCAUAAAUCCACAAACUGUAGAUAAUAUAUAUAGAAAACUGUAAUAAUUUACAAGCAAAAUAAGCUAAUAUACCUCUGUUUAGAAUUACUUUAGUCGCAUCCAGACAACACCACCCAUCUGCCAUCUUUACAGCCUCUGUCUCUUCUUCGUCUAUAAAUAGUCCACAAAAAGAAACUUCAAAGUGAAUCAUAUAAAAAGAAGAGUUUAUAACAUAAAUGGUCACUUUACCAGUUUUUAUUACACCCAAGAGCACAUUGUGCUACCAAGGCACUUUUUAGUGGUUAUAGACCUAUUUCUCCUUGAAAAAGUGAAACUAGAGAUGGGUAUCUAAGUAAUUUGACUUCUUGGCUGGUUACUUUGUUUCGGCAUUCGAAUUUUGAAAAAAUAAGUGAUUUGGUUGUGGGCCCAAGACGAAAUUAAUUUUUGCUUCAUAAUAAACAUUGGGUCCGUAAAAGGCAAAAAAAAAUUUUUUUGGUUUACUUUCACCCACAAACAAAAAUUACGGUUACGAUUGUUCGAUAAACUUAGAAGGUGUUUUCUGACGUCAGAGAAAUUGGAGACAGAGAAAAGGUUUAAUGACGAGGAGGAGGAGGGUAGCAGAAAGAGAAAGCGGAAGAGGAGAACCGAGGAAGUGGUUUGUCUUUUGAUGAUGGAAAAAUUAAUGGAGUGAGACUAAUUGCAGAGGCACCGGAGCUGGAGAUGACGGACGACCGGUUGAUUGAUUGAGAAGCAGUUCGCGACGGACCGGUACCCAAGCAAGCGCAUGUAUGUGUAUUCAACUUUUGAUAACUUGAUUUGGUCCGUGUUGUGUUUUCAAUAGGAUUUGUCCUAUGUCUGGUUUUAAUUAUCUUGCGGCUCAGCUAUUACCAGAAAACAGGUGACCUCGUGAACUUCUGACUUCUAUAUAUGUCCUCUUAGUGAGUUUGUUUGCAUUUUGUUAUUGGGCAUUCUUGUUAAUAGUCGUGAAAGCUGCUAGAAAUGUGCCAGUUCACAAACAAUAAAGUUAGGUAUCUGCAUCAGAAAAUUUAUACAUUGAGCUUUCGAAUUUGUAAAACUUCUCUGGUUUUAACGGUUUCUAGAUUCUGUAGAAGAUCUUCUUUAACUGGUUACUGGUUACGCAUGUAUCCAAGAGGAAGUCCAGCAACAUUUUCAUUCUUAUGGGACAGUUAAUAGGUGUACACAUGGACAGUUUGUAGUGUAUACAUGGACAGUUUGUAGUGUACACAUGGACAGUUUGUAUGAUUAUUUUGUUGUAAUGUAAUGUAAUGUGCAUAGAAUUUGCUAUGGAAUUUAUGGGAUUUGAAACUAUUAUAGCAUAUAACAUAGUGAAAGCCACCAAUACAAGGAUGCAUAUUAAACUAUUACUUAAGUGAAAAGUUAAAAAGUUUUUUUACCUACAUAUUAUAGAUUCAUAUUUAACGUGUAGCCUGUCCACAAAAACUUGUAACCAGCCACCACCUUCAGAAGCUCGGACUGGAGGGUCUGACAUUCAUCCUUCAGCUGUUAGUAAGCGUCUGUCUCCAGGAUAGCACAACUGCAAUAUUGAAACACCACAGCAAAAUUCAAACACAGCAGAAGAUCGAUUAUACACUUGAUAAUUGAUAGGCAUCUUAGGGGUGGACAUAUAAAUAAAAAACAAAAACAAAAGUGCCUCAACUGGAAAAUGUACUUUAUUCGACUGGUUUAUUAAAUCCCAAUAUCGAAACCAAACUGGUUUUAUUGUACACGAGAUCAAUUGUACACAUGGAUUUAAAAGAAAAACUUAUCCACAGGAGAAGUGUACACAAAUGCCUCAAACUUGUUUUAUUGUACACGAGUUUAGUUGUACACAUGGAUGAGAUAGUUAUUCCACAGGGAAGUGUACACAAAAAUGACAUUAUAUUCCAUGUUUACGUACAUAAAUUCAUCUUUUUGAAAUUAAUAGAAAACUGAAAAAAUUUUAAAAUCCGUUGGAGAUUAAUUUUAAGAAUAUUUCUUAAUUUUUCGGAUACAUAUAUGAAUUUUAUUUUUAUUUGUGAACAAUAUAUUGAAGAAUCGUUGUGUGGUCUAGUGGAAUAUUGAUGAUAUUUGUUCAAGAUGUCAUGAGUUCGACUUAGACUCUCUUUUUCAAUUUUUUUUUUUCAUUAAUGGCAAACACGUAAAUACUUUGUCUUCUUUCUUUUAGAGUUUCCAUUUACUCUGCAAUUAUUUUCUAGCGCAGCCGCAUAUCAUUUUAACGUAAUCGAUAUAGUUUAAUGUUUUCUUAUCAUUUAUGUUGCUUAGCAUCGAGUUGUAAACAUCUAAACACACAAAAACUUGAAUUAUUUAGAUAAAUCAUAUUUUUAGCCGAGUUUGAUAGAAUCACCACAAAGAGUCACCGCCGAAUGUUGUGCCGCUGCUAAAUCUCCAAUUUGGCCUUCUUUUCUAAGCUAUAUAUUAUUUAGCUCACCUGACGUGAUGAGAGAGAGAGAGAGAGAGAGAGAGAGAGAGAGAGAGAGAGAGAGAGAGAGAGAGAGAGAGAGAGAGAUCAGCCAUCGAAAUAUAAGAAAAAUCAAUGGCUGGGAACAAAGGCCCGCCACUUUCCAGGUUCAGUUAGUCAAUGUUAUGGUUAGAAUUGAACUGAAAAUGUUAAGACUCAAAUACUCUUUGAAAAGAAGUGCUCUAAUAGAAAGAAGUGACUUAGAGUGAAAUAAAAAGUCAUAAAAUGACCUAUAAUGUAAAUCUUUCUAAAAAGAAUAAGAGAGUAUUACUUUCAACUGAGAAGAAUGUAUUUGAAUAAAAUAAUUAUAAAGCUAUACUGAUUUUGUUGCUACACUUAAAAUUCAAAAAUUCUGAAAAAGAUGAGAAGAUUGAGAAUAGGAAAGACAGAGCAAAUGGGAAAGAAAAAUAAUUUUGAAAAAUAUUUUUGGAAUAAAUAAUGUGACAUGGUGCCAUAAAAGUAGGGAACAUGGGAUUCUUUAUGAUCAGGGACAGUUAUAUUUUUAGCAAUUGAUAUUAUUUUAUAAUUAACUCAUAUUUUUAAUUGUUUGGUCAACGAUUUUUUUUUUUUGUUUUUUAUUAUUUUUUGGCCAAAUGUCAAAUUUCGAUUCACCAAAUGAUUUGUGCUUUAGUAUAUAGAAGAUGUGAAAUGAUCGAUUGAUAUAUGAAUGAAUGAAACAUCUCUAUUCAUGUGAAAGACAUUAUUAAAAGUCAACGUUAGUGUCCUAGUUUCAAGUUGACAAUACUUUAGCACGGAAAGAAGACGUUUAAAAGAUGGCUGAAUACAAAUUGAAAAUUCUGCAGUGGCUCAACAAUUACAAAGCUUGCAAUGAUAAAUGGGGCCAUCUGACGAGUAUAUAGGUUGGGAUUGACUCGGUGCUUAAUCAUAAAUGCCAAAUCUUAGCAAUUCUAGGGGUACUCUUUUUAUUGAAACCAUAUUUUGUAGGGAGGGAGUUACAAUUCUAGUGAGAUAGUCGCAACUCAUAUCUCUGAACCGUUCAGACGUUCAUAGGUCUUUUUAGGACAUGUAAGUGGGGCAUGUAAAUUAAUAAAAGAGCAUUGUCAUUGUAUAACCUCACUGAUGUUAGUGCAGGGACGACUGAGUUUUAUAAGCUGAAAAAAAAUAACUCCUCACAGUGUCCAUGUACCAGUCGUGAAGUAGUACAUGAAGUCGUACAAGAAAUUAUACGUGCAUGAAGUGAAGCUGACGUGAAGCUGUGUAGCUGACUUGAAGAUUGGAAUUGCGAAGUUGGCUAAGACAAGCCACGAAAUCUACAAGUAUAAGUAGAGAAAGACGUGUGGGGGAUUUGGUACUACCUCAAGAGAAGGCCGUAAGCAUAAGGGUUUUGGUGUCGAAUGAGAGUAGACACAAAACAUAAGGGCUAGGGGUCAUAAGGGGGUCAGAGGGGGUUCUUGGGUUAGUUUGAUCUAGGGACGUCCUAGGUUGGUGUCUUUGGCUGAGUGUGACAUGUUAGUUAACUCGGGAGGGAGCUAGUAAGCACUUUAUCUAUGUAAAGAUAAACCUUCAUAGUUAUCAUGUUGUAGUACUUUGUUAAAUAAAAAAAGAGCAUUAUACUUGUAUGUAUUACUCUCUGUAACAGACUCGUCUUGCACUUUCAAUUGGUAUUAGAGCGGGUCACCUAAUUAGUUACUGGUGAAGAUCCUGAACGCAAGAGGGAAGAGUGAAGACAAAGUACAACAUGAAACAUGGUCGUUGAGCUGAAGCAGUGUCUGGGCGCUGAAGUAGUGUAUGGACGUUGAAGUAGUGUAUGGGUGAUGUAUUCUAAAAAUCAAUCAUCAAAAAAGAGAUUUUUAGUGCAGUGACGACUGAAUUUUAGAAGCUGAAGAAAAAACACCUCCUCGAGGUAUCCAUGUACGAGUCGUGAAGUUGUACACAUGAAGUCGUACAAGAAGUGAUACAUGAAAUGAAGCUGAAGUGAAGCUGUGUAGCUAACUUGAAGACUGGAAUUGAAGCCGACUUAGAGAUGAAGUAAAGACUACUUGGAAGCUAAGCAAGCUAUGAUUUACCUUUCAGAAAAGGUAAAUCAUCAAAGGAAGAUUUCCAAAGACUUUGAAGAAGAUUUGGAAAUAUUCUAUAAAGGAAGAUAUGAUAAUAUAUUUUCCUUGGGAAGUUGGCUAAAGCAAGCCACGAAAUCUAUAAGUAUAAGUAGAGAAAGACGUGCCUAGUAUUAGCUUCCAAGAGAAGGAAGCUAAUACCUCAAGAGAAGGCCGUAAGCAUAAUGGUUUUGGUGUCUAAUGAGAGUAGACACAAAACAUAAGAGCUAGAGGUCAUGAGGGGGCCAGAGAGGUUCUUGGAUUAGUUUGAUCUAAGAACGUGUUAGGCUAGUGUCUCUGUCUGAGUGUGACAUGUUAGUCAACUCAGAAAGAUGCUAGUAAAAACUUUAUAUAAAGAUAAAACUUCAUUUUUAUCCUGUUGUACUAUUUAGUGAAAUAAAAAAGAGCAGUGUACUUGUAAGUAUUACUCUCUGUAACAGAUUCCUCUUGUACUUUCAAUUGAUGUUCACAGCAAAGUUGUCGCAUCAAUAGUCGGUAGUCGACAAAGCUGAACCUAUAGAAGCCUAGCUACGUAAUUAAGAAUGCACCAUUCCAGAAGGAUUAUCUAACCACUAUUAACUAGAAACAACAUGUAUAAUCACCACAUGCUUUGGUACAGUAGUGACAUCCACCGAUCCACGUCAUGCAAUGAAAUGACUCCAAGAAGCAACGAUAAGUAUGCUAGACAUUCAGAUGAAAAGUCAGGAACUUGCGUCUGUCUUAGAACGUCCACCUGAUCUUUGCAUGUUCAGUAUGGUAAAAGCCGGUAAUGGCCAUGUUGUAAUAACUAGUAACUGUCCAUUAUGAUCUGAUUAUUUUGUCUUUAACGGGCUAUUUUUAGCAUGCAACUUUGAAAUUAUGUAAUAACCUCUAAUUCAUAUUGUUUUGAUAUUAUUGGUCACCCUUGCUUUUCGAAAAUUGAAUUCUCUUCUGGCCACAUAAAUAGUUAGUUUUAUGUUUACAAAUUUAGACAAAGCCAUUAAAAUUAUUUUAUAAUUAAGCGAAAAACACAUUUGCCAUGCAAUUUGUUCAGUUUAAAUACCACACCUUCGAUGUCUUCAGAUUCAUACUAAUUCAACAAUAUUUUUUUGUUCAAAAAAAUGAAGUAUCUCAUAUAUUUUGUAUCAGUUACUGCUAUGUAUAUUGGAUUGAGUGAAGCGCUACCACCAGUAAAAGAUUGCAACUAUCGCAUGAUAGAAAUUCAAAACAAACUCGGUUCUGGUCAGAUACUGAAAUAUCAGUGUAGUAGUGUAGUAGGACCGGAACCUAUACGUGGCCUUUUAAAAUUUAAUGAGAAAUACGUAUUCAAAUACAGUCGUGUGUACUCUAAAACUUGGAUUUGUAACUUUGAUAAAAGAACUCAUGGUUAUGAGUUGGUAGUAGAGUUAUCAGCUCCAAAACCUCCAUGUAAUAGUGGGUUACGCACAUGGAUUGUUAAAAGUGAUGGAAUUUACUUUGAGAGAGAUGGAAAAAAACCUAUGAAACUUGUGGGUAGAUGGAGUAAAAAUGUUCCUUAACAUGCUUUUAUUUCUUCUGUUUUUCCGUAAAACUAAUUAACGUUAAUGAAGUUUUUUUUUUGUCGUUUCAGCCAAGUUAUCAUUCCAGCUUGUAAUAAAAUAUGUGUCUCAUGUAAUAUGUACUAGAGUCAGAUCUGUGCCAUGCGCAGUUAUUUUAAUUUUAUAAUAAUAAUUUUUAAUUUAUGUGAUAAAUUGAUUAUAAAAUUUCUUGUUGAAAACAGAAAUUUUUAGUUUUUAAGCUAAUCUAUCUAUCUAUACUAAUAAAAUAGACCUUUUAAAGCUCCAUAAAACACCCACAUCAGCGAAAAAACUUCUCUCCAAAGAUGACACGUGACAUUAUUACCAAAAAAUAAAUAAUAACUAAUAAGUAAAUAUACAUUUAAAGAAAAAUAAAUAAUAAGUAAAUACACAUUAUAAGAAUUAGAAAAUUUACAUUAAAUAUUUAUGUGAAAAAGUAUAAUAAAAUAAAUAAAUAAGUAAAACAUAAAAUAU